ACUUGUAGCUAUCAAAUAAUACUAAAAUGUUUGUAACCAGCAUUGUGAUAUAUUCUGUACUUGUAUUGCUAAAAAAUGAAUUAUUGACCCAAUAAAUAUAGUGUUCCUG